rnacentral:lncRNA from 1 species
UAUGCCAGAAAACAGUGAGCUGUGGUUGAAGACUGAUGGAGAUGUGGGAGAGGAAAAGGUUGAAAGGGAUCCCACUGGCCAGAUUUGGGACAAUUAGGGCAUCAGAGAGAAUCACGGCAGUGAUGGUACUAACAUUUUAAUUUUUUUUUUUAAAUAAACAAGCAGUUAAGUAAGUAGAUGGCAGAUAGUGGGAACCAGGUUCCACCCUGUUGGAGGAGGAGGUUACAUAUGAACAAGGAGAGGCUAGAAUGAUCCGUGUGGUCCUGGAUUGGAGUUGGAGAUGCUGUGAACUCAUGUUUAGCUUAUAUACACACAGUGAUUCCACGUAGAAAUUCUUAAAGAUGGGUGUGUGUGCUCAGGUUCACGUACACACAUAUGUUUCUUUGCUUUUUCAGGGGAGAUGGCCCAGAAGUAAUGACAUUCCAGGAGCAAUAGGCACACCUAGCACCCCGAUCUUGGUUUCUGUCUAGUGUACCCCAGUAAAAGGAAACAGAGGUCCUUGAAGAACUGGCUGACUCUAGGGCCAGGGCAGAAAAUACACAUGAAGGGGCCAGGUGCGGUGGCUCACGCC